ACUGGAGCUGAAGGGCACACAGAGGACAAGCUGUAGAGCACUGAUGACAGAGGAGUCAUGCUGUGGCCAUGCUAUUCAGACCUCUGUAGUAUGUUCUAAAACACCUUGGAACAAGGGAAGAGCUCCAGCCUGCUUCACUGUACAUCAGAGAGUAUGAGACAGAUGUAACAGGGCAGCCUUCCUCUAGAGAGGAGGUACUGGAAUCAAGUAAUACAGCCAAGUGAAAUUGCUCAAACCCGUCCCAUGGAGUUCACUGGUUCGGUCUCAAAAACAUAAUUCAGUGGUGUGAGAGAUACCUGAGCCAGUUGUGAGCAAGGCAGCUGAGGUGCCAAAAACUGCUUAACAGCGCUGUUUGAGCCUGCAGCAGCCAAAGAAAGCAGAGCAGACUGAAAAGGGACAGCAGUGUGAAAAGCCUUAUUCCCACAGCUUUCCUGGAGCCUGAAGUGUGCAAGAGUGUGGCUCUGAUUAUGGCACUGAUUCUGGCCUGCCAAAGAUAUUUGGAAAAAUCCCAGCUAGCUCUCUGCCAGGCAAUACUCAAGUGGAUCUGAGAAAGAUCCCCCAGCACAGCUCCCAAAACAAAGAGUGA